GCACAAGCGGUGGAGCAUGUGGUUUAAUUCGACGCAACGCGCAGAACCUUACCAGCCCUUGACAUCCCGGUCGCGGACUCCAGAGACGGAGUUCUUCAGUUCGGCUGGACCGGAGACAGGUGCUGCAUGGCUGUCGUCAGCUCGUGUCGUGAGAUGUUGGGUUAAGUCCCGCAACGAGCGCAACCCCCGUCCUUAGUUGCUACCAUUUAGUUGAGCACUCUAAGGAGACUGCCGGUGAUAAGCCGCGAGGAAGGUGGGGAUGACGUCAAGUCCUCAUGGCCCUUACGGGCUGGGCUACACACGUGCUACGAUGGCGGUGACAAUGGGACGCUAAGGGGCAACCCUUCGCAAAUCUCAAAAAGCCGUCUCAGUUCGGAUUGGGCUCUGCAACUCGAGCCCAUGAAGUUGGAAUCGCUAGUAAUCGUGGAUCAGCACGCCACGGUGAAUACGUUCCCGGGC
rnacentral:rRNA from 1 species